rnacentral:rRNA from 1 species
GACGAACGCUGGCGGCGUGCUUAACACAUGCAAGUCGAACGGAAAGGCCCUGCGUUUGUGGGGUGCUCGAGUGGCGAACGGGUGAGUAACACGUGAGUAACCUGCCCUUGACUUUGGGAGAACUUCAGGAAACUGGGGCUAAUAUCGGAUAGGAGCUCCUGCUGCAUGGGGGGGGUUGGAAAGUGUCGGCGGUUGGGGCUGGACUCGCGGCUUAUGAGCUUGUUGGUGGGGUAGGGGCUUACCAAGGCUUUGACGGGUAGCCGGCCUGGGAGGGUGACCGGCGACCUUGGGCCUGCGGUACGGCCCAGACUCCUACGGGCGGCAGCGGUCGGGAAUCUUGCACAAUGGGCGGGCGCCUGAUGCAGCAGCCCCGCGUUCGGGAUGCAGGCUUUCUGGUUGUGAACCGCUUUCGCCUGUGACGAAGCGUGAGUGACGGUACUGGGUAAAGAAGCACCGGCUAACUACGUG